ACCACCUAAAUGAUAACGGAAAUACAACCGACAAGCGUUUGACUGGGAAAACGAGAGAAAGAACAGAGUAACAGAAAGAGUAAGGAACAAAAGUCCGGCCAGACCCACCGAUCUGGAUGCAAAACAAACUAGAACAAACGUUACGACGCCAGAUUCAGGCAAAAGAGCUUAAGGUCCUGACUAAACUGAGUGCAGCAUACAGUAUCAUUUUUGCACGAGCACCCUGCUGGCGAUGAUGAAAGCGAUCCU
rnacentral:lncRNA from 1 species